CUUUUUCAAAAUAAUGAUCCAACUGUAUCUUGUUUGAUUAUCUUUUCUUGUGAUGUUGUUUAGUCUUUACUGUGUAGUCGUGUUAAUUGAUCAUGUCUCGAUCAUACCCAACUGUUUUUGUGGAUGCCCAGCUUCUUAAUUGCUGUCUUUACUCUGUACCCUCUUUCAAUUUUCCUUGAUUACACUAAUGUUUGUGACUUUAUGUUCCUUGUGAUUUCUUGUUGGGUGUCUGGUGUUAAAUUUUGAUGGCUGAAAUUGGACCUCGGCUGUACUGCUGCUACAAGUGUAAAAAUCAUGUUUCGCUGCACGAUGACAUUAUUUCAAAGACAUUUCAGGGAAGAGAUGGGCGAGCCUUUUUGUUCUCUCAUGCAAUGAACAUCUCUGUUGGGCGUAGAGAAGACAGAAACCUUAUGACUGGUCUUCACACUGUUGCGGAUGUCAACUGUGGCGAUUGCGGAGAAUUGUUGGGGUGGAAGUAUGAACGAGCAUAUGAGCCAUCACAAAAAUACAAGGAAGGGAAGUUCAUACUCGAGAAAUCAAAGAUUGUGAAGGACAACUGGACGAAUCAUCCGCCUCUUCAUCGCUGGUGGUCGGGGAAACGGUAAAAUCACUGAAGAAGCAAAAAGCAUAUGAAGAACUAACGCUCCUCUGUGCUCUCUUCUCAAAUUCCAAUGUACACAUCAUCUGCAAGGAGUUGGAAGAAUGCAAUGGCAUCAAAGAGGUUAUAUAACUCGUAAGAGACAAGCAUUCAAGCAAGUAGACGAGAACUUUUAGGAAACAUUUUGUACGUUUCAGACUUUCAGAUGAGUUAGAUAGUUGUAAUACAUGCAUACAUUUGUGAUCAAGCCCCUUGAUUCGGCGACAAGAGUUGGUUAUGGAAUAAUCUUUUGGUCGGCUUUCUCGUUCUUUAGCAGUUUCCGGCCGGUGGGGCCCAUCUCAUUGCUCUAGCCAGGAGCUCCAACUUGCAACCGCAGGAGGGCGCCCUGUGAGGCGAGAGUGGGCUCAGCGGUCAGCCUCCACUAAAAUUAUGUUAGGGGCUUUCCACUUUUGCCAGAUCUAGAGAGAUACAAGUCCUCUAUAAGCAUGUUUCUAGAAAGGCCACUAUCGUGAAUGAAGCAAGCAUGAUUCUAGAAAGGCCACCAUCUUGAUUGAAGGAUCUCCCGCAUCUGGAUACAAACCCGGGGCCAAUGAUGAAGGGGCUAGUGGCGUACAAGUACCUUUCUAGUAAGCAGAACAUGCCGAUAGAGCACUGUGAAGGACAGUUAGAGUUACUGCUGCUGUUUACCUGGACUUCCUAUCCUAAUUGCUUUCUUUAUAUAAAGUAUUAUAUCUCCUUGCGGUUCGUAUUGUCUUUUAUCUGUUGUUUCCCAGACUUGGCUGGGAGCGUCCAGUAGGGAUGUGUUCAAAUGUAGACCUCCGCAAUACCACGUCCACCACGAGCACAAAAAGUAAUGAGUUGGGAUAACAGGGAAUUUAUCCUCUGCUACAAGAUAGCUCCAAGCCUCCAAUCCUCUUUUUCCUGUGUUCUUGUACAUCUGAUUAGUUCAACUAGGUUUGCUUUUACCUGUCUAAGCAUAUAAACUUACUAAAACAGCAAACUUUCCUAUGCGUCUGGUUCUGUUAAUUUGAACCUUUCUGAUAAUACAGCUAUAUAAACUACUCUGUCCUGGAUAA